CAGUCGCCGCGGUAAAACGUAGGCGGCAAGCGUUGUCCGGAAUUAUUGGGCGUAAAGGGCUCGCAGGCGGUUUCUUAAGUCUGAUGUGAAAGCCCCCGGCUCAACCGGGGAGGGUCAUUGGAAACUGGGAAACUUGAGUGCAGAAGAGGAGAGUGGAAUUCCACGCGUAGCGGUGAAAUGCGUAGAGAUGUGGAGGAACACCAGUGGCGAAGGCGACUCUCUGGUCUGUAACUGACGCUGAGGAGCGAAAGCGUGGGGAGCGAACAGGAUUAGAUACCCGCGUAGUCCCUGUCUCUUAUAA
rnacentral:rRNA from 1 species